rfam:Streptomyces malaysiense strain MTSC 136 6, whole genome shotgun sequence.
UGAAUCCGCGCGGGAGAGUCCCCAGCAGGCUUCGCUGGGGCGCCGAAGGAGCAAGUCCCUCCCUUGAAUCUCUCAGGCCCCGUUACCGCGCGGGCGAG